AUACUUUUAGAUCUUCUGUCAUUG
rnacentral:siRNA from 1 species